rnacentral:rRNA from 1 species
UACGAACUGUGCGAACGUUAUUCGGAAUCACUGGGCUUACAGGGUGCGUAGGCGGUCGAUGAAGUAGGGUGUGAAAGGCUCUGGCUCAACCAGAGCAUAGCGCUCUAAACUGAUUGACUCGAGCGAGCUAGGGGUAUACGGAACUUCCGGUGGAGCGGUGAAAUGUGUUGAUAUCGGAAGGAACGCCGGUGGCGAAAGCGGUAUACUGGGGCUUGUCUGACGCUGAGGCACGAAAGCCAGGGGAGCGAACGGG